rfam:Nicotiana sylvestris Nsyl_contig124892, whole genome shotgun sequence.
GAGAGCGCAGUACAACGGAGAGUUGUAUGUUGCAUUCGGGAAGGAUGAAUCACUCCCGAAAAGGAAUCUAUUGAUUCUCUCCCAAUUUGUUGGAUCGUAGGUGUGAUGAUUUACUUCAC